rnacentral:lncRNA from 1 species
CCAAUGCCAAGUUUAAUAUUAAUCGUCCACUGAGGAGAUGAGUUUCAAUUAUGGCAGGCGGGAGGGUAAAGUCAUUUUCCACAAAGCUGCACUCCUUUGGACUGAACUGUAUCACACCCCCCAGGACCUCAUCAUCCUUCAAGAUGACAUCAGCCUUGGUACUCAUACUUCAACAGUACCCUGCCCCCUGAUUCUCAGGCUGGUGGGUAGAACAAAGCACUCUUCACAAAGUUUCCCAGCCAUCUCUUCAUUUCCCACCCAGCUUUACUCCUUUGGACUGGACACCAUCAUGUACCUUCCCAUCCCUCUCUCCACUGUCCACUUUUCCACUUCUUUGCAUAUGUCUGCCCCCAUUAGAUUGCAAAUUCCUUGAAAAAAAGGAUGGUCUUUUUUUUUUUGUAUUUGUAUCCCCAAUACUUAGCAGAGUGCCUGCUACAUAGUAUGUGCUUUAAUGUUUAUUGACUAUUCAGGGACUGUCCUGGGAGUAGGAUCAUUCAGUCAAAAAAAUAUGAUCAGUUUUGUGACCAGACAUGGACAUGUUGUUCUUCAAAAUGCUUACACCAAUCUACAGUCCCACCAGGAAUGCAUGAGAGUGUCUAUUUCCCUACAAUACUGCCAAUGUUGAUUUUCUUUCUUUUGCUAUUUUUGCCAUCUAGUGGAUCCUGACCAACUUUAAAGAAGAUACUUCUAAGAAAGAAAUCAGAGCAGUCAAAGAAGGAGCUCAUCAUUCCUGAGGGACCCCAAAGAAUCCCAAAAGGAACUCAAAAGGGAUUUUUUUUUAUCUAAUGUCCAAAAAACACAAAUCAUUUGCUCUUCAAUCUGAAAUAGAUUUAGGAGAAUGUAAAAGUUACCUAUAUUAGGCAACAAUUAACCAGUAACUUAACAUCAUCAAGGAAAAUUCUGAAGACACAUCCAUAUGUAUACAAUGUCAUUUCACAAAGGGGGGCCUACUGGAUUAAGGAGGCAUGAUAAAAUCAAUUAGAGCCAUAACAACCUGGAGACACUUGAGGGGCAUUGCUCAUUUGGAGACUUCCAGUAGCUGGGGGAAGUUAUUCCCCCUCCAGCACUCUAUGACUUCUGAAAUCUGAGGGAGACUUUCUGCUGUAGGAAAAGGAUUCCACAGCGUGAGACAUUGCUCUAAUGUUUAUAGAACAGCAGCAAACAUUUUGCUUCCUCACUUCACCAUCUGAGGUCACCUUUCUGUUUUGAAACAGUAAAAGGGGAGGGAAGAUGUAUUUAGAUUCCUCCAGUAGUAAUAUACAUUUGUCACUCAGGGACUGACUGAAAAUUUUCUCUCAGUAUCAGGCCAACCAGAGAUGUUACAGCAACCAAUUUAUUGGCAAUGAUGUUUUAAGUUAAAGACAUUUCAGUUC